rnacentral:rRNA from 1 species
AAUAGAUACCCCGGUAGUCCACGCCGUAAACGAUGGUCACUAGCUGUUAGGGGAUCGACCCCUUUAGUAGCGAAGCUAACGCGUUAAGUGACCCGCCUGGGGAGUACGGUCGCAAGGCUAAAACUCAAAGGAAUUGACGGGGACCCGCACAAGCGGUGGAACGUGGGGUUUAAUUCGUCUCUAAGCGAAAAACCUUACCGAGGCUUGACAUCUCUAGAAGAUCCUAGAAAUAGGAUUGUGCCGAAAGGAACUAGAUGACAGGUGCUGCAUGGCUGUCGUCAGCUCGUGUCGUGAGAUGUUGGGUUAAGUCCCGCAACGAGCGCAACCCUCGCCCUUAGUUGCCAUCAUUUAGUUGGGCACUCUAAGGGGACUGCCGGUGAUAAGCCGCGAGGAAGGUGGGGAUGACGUCAAGUCCUCAUGGCCCUUACGGGGCUGGGCUACACACGUGCUACAAUGGCGGUGACAAUGGGAUGCGAAGGGGUGACCCCUAGCAAAUCUCAAAAACCGUCUCAGUUCGGAUUGUGCUCUGCAACUCGAGCACAUG